GCCAUGAUAUGUUUUCGGAGAGAUGAGCACUCAAUGCUGAGAUAACCUCUAUCACCCUUGACUGAUGGAA